rnacentral:rRNA from 1 species
CCCUUAGAUGUUCUGGGCCGCACGCACGCUACACUGAUGCAUUCAACAAGCCUAGCCUUGACCGAGAGGUCCGGGUAAUCUUUGAAACUGCAUCGUGAUGGGGCUAGAUUAUUGCAAUUAUUAAUCUUCAACGAGGAAUGCCUAGUAAGCGUGAUUCAUCAAAUCGCGUUGAUUACGUCCCUGCCCUUUGUACACACCGCCCGUCGCUCCUACCGAUUGAAUGUGUUGGUGAGGAGCUCGGAUUGGCAGCAGUUGGUGGUUCGCCACCGGCUAUUGCUGAGAAGUCCUCCAAACCGCCCCAUUUAGAGGAAGGAGAAGUCGUAACA